UGGAGCAUUGUGGUUAAUUCGACGCAACGCGCAGACCUUACCUGGGCUUGACAUCCCGAUCGCACCUUUUGGAAACUUAAGGGUCAGUUCGGCUGGAUCGGUGACAGGUGCUGCAUGGCUGUCGUCAGCUCGUGUCGUGAGAUGUUGGGUUAAGUCCCGCAACGAGCGCAACCCUCGUCCUUAGUUGCCAGCAUUAAGUUGGGCACUCUAAGGAGACUGCCGGUGUUAAACCGGAGGAAGCGGGGAUGACGUCAAGUCCUCAUGGCCCUUAUGUCCAGGGCUACACACGUGCUACAAUGGCCGGUACAAAGGGUAGCAAGACCGCGAGGUGGAGCCAACCCCAAAAAGCCGGUCUCAGUUCGGAUUGGAGUCUGCAACUCGACUCCAUGAAGUUGGAAUCGCUAGUAAUCGUGGAUCCGCAUGCCGCGGUGAAUACGUUCCCGGGCCUU
rnacentral:rRNA from 1 species